rnacentral:rRNA from 1 species
GACGAACGCUGGCGGCGUGCUUAACACAUGCAAGUCGAACGGCAAGGCCCUGCUUUUGUGGGGUGCUCGAGUGGCGAACGGGUGAGUAACACGUGAGUAACCUGCCCUUGACUUUGGGAUAACUUCAGGAAACUGGGGCUAAUACCGGAUAGCAGCUCCUGCUGCAUGGUGGGGGUUGGAAAGUUUCGGCGGUUGGGGAUGGACGCGCGGCUUAUCAGCUUGUUGGUGGGGUAGUGGCUUACCAAGGCUGUGACGGGUAGCCGGCCUGAGAGGGUGACCGGCCACAUUGGGACUGAGAUACGGCCCAGACUCCUACGGGAGACAGCAGGGGGGAAUAUUGCACAAUGGGCGGAAGCCUGAUGCAGCAACGCCGCGUGCGGGAUGACGGCCUUCGGGUUGUAAACCGCUUUCGCCUGUGACGAAGCGUGAGUGACGGUAAUGGGUAAAGAAGCACCGGCUAACUACGUG